UCCGGUAUAGUGUAGGGGUUAACAUACUCCGCUUUCAAGAACGUACCUUAAGUUCGAAGAGCCGGAGAGCCCGUAAGUUGCUUCAUCUAUCUUCUAAUGUUACACAUUCUGACAAUUUCUCAGCGGGUUCGAUUCCCGGUACCGGAA